rnacentral:lncRNA from 1 species
CCUUUUGUUCCUCUUACUAUGAACUUAUUAAUCACAAUUGGAGAAAACUUGAUACACUUCCCUCUAACAAACACCUUACAAAACUCUUUGUUGUUUUCAUCAGCAAUGUCCUCAGGGAUGUUCGCCACAAAUUCCUUAACCAGACCUUCAAAACACUGAGAUAGCCCAGUAAUAGUUUUCAUUAAUCCAGCAGAUUUAAUCAGGUCCAUGACCUCUUUAACCUCCACAACAUCCUUUCCCAACUCUCU